ACGGCAGGCGGGAAGAUCGCAAAAGUACGGCCGUAGUCAGCCGUAGUUGCGCACAGCACGUGUGCAUUGGCGGCUACCAUGUUGCAGUGUACUGUAGCCAUGUCAAGGCGAGGUGUGCGCGAUUUUUAGUGAAUUAACGAUGUGUUUUUAAGGAACCCGAAGUGCUGGCAUCUGCGCAAUCUUAUUCCUGCAAUAUAAUACUUGGAUAUGGGUGUUGUGUGACUUCAAAACAACGGAAGGCAACUGUUUUUACACCUGUGCUUCGUGGAUCUAUCAGCGUGCAUCGAUGUGAUGUGUCUUCGCCGGCGCCGAUUCCUUUCCAUUUGGAGGUUUUUCUGACCACCCCAAAAGGACGUUCUCUGGUCGAAGUGGUGGAGUAAAAGCUCUGGCAAUCAAAAUUGCUGACCUGACGAAGAUCUCGAAAGAGAAAUCUGUAAAAAUAUUUGUGUGCUAAUAAAUGCUCCUAGCAAUUA